CCCAUUAGGUAGUUGGCGAGGUAAAGGCCCACCAAGCCCGAGAUGGAUAGCCGGCCUGAGAGGGUGAGCGGCCACACUGGGACUGAGAUACGGCCCAGACUCCUACGGGAGGCAGCAGCUAAGAAUAUUCCGCAAUGGGCGAAAGCCUGACGGAGCGACGCCGCGUGGAUGAAGAAGGCCGAAAGGUUGUAAAGUCCUUUUUUUGCGGAAGAAUAAGCGAGGGAGGGAAUGCCCGUGUGAUGACGUGAAGCAAAGAAUAAGCCCCGGCUAAUUACGUGCCAGCAGCCGCGGUAACACGUAAGGGGCGAGCGUUGUUCGGAAUUAUUGGGNGUAAAGGGCGCGCAGGCGGCUGUGGAAGUCUGAUGUGAAAGGCAGGAGCUUAACUUCUGUACUGCAUUGGAAACUGGANGACUAGAGUCAUGGAGGGGGAGUUGGAAUUCCUAGUGUAGGGGUGAAAUCUGUAGAUAUUAGGAAGAACACCGGUGGCGAAGGCGAGCUUCUAGCCAAUGACUGACGCUGA
rnacentral:rRNA from 1 species